AAUUUAAAGAAAGUUGGUGCCCGUGAGGUUCCCUUGUGAACCCGUGUAGGCGCACCAAGAAAGCCGGGAGGUUAAGGAAGAUGUCGAGGAAAUACUAAAUUGGGCAUCUUGAAGCGAUAAGUGACUGCUCUCUCACUCUUCCUGUCCUACUUACCGGCAUAGGCUCAAGUCCAAUGUUUCUAUGCCCUCCCUAGAUCAAAUUGUUACAGCUUUGUAGAGCUGUUUCUCGCUGGAAUGGAGAACUGUUUCUAAAGUAGCGGACUGUCUUCCUUCUUCUUGUUAGUUACUUCUCUGUGAGUUGCUGUAAGGAUCUAUGGAGCUUAUGAUGUGAAGAUUCGCGACACUUUCUUCUAUCUAGUUGUGUAAUGCCAUUGUUGUACGGACUCUUGCGUCCAUACAAAAGAAAAACUCAUCUUGAUGCAGAUACUCACCUUAAUCUCAAUCUAUCUUGAUCUUGUAUCUCUCGUAAUUUUUGAAAUGCAAGAAACACUG